GUAUAAGAGGGUGAUUUUUCUAAAAGGGUGUCCCCUUCCUCCCUCACUUCUCAUGUAUGCCCAUCCCAAAGCUUGCAGUUGAUCGAAGAAAAUGACCUUCCCCCAAAAGAGACAGAUCAAUCUGUUCUUGGGGUCAAGGGUAUAUGAGUAGCUGCUCUCCCCUGCUAGAACCUCUAAAUAAGCUUUCAAUAUCCAAAGAGCUCUCUAGAACCCUGACCAAUGGAGCUGCCUUUUUUUAAAUUGGUGAUUUAAUAAUGAUUGAC
ensembl:misc_RNA 7SK 7SK RNA